rnacentral:rRNA from 1 species
UCCGUAGGCGGGCAAUUAAGUCAGAGGUGAAAUCCCGCAGCUCAACUGUGGAACUGCCUUUGAUACUGGUUGUCUUGAGUUACAGUGAAGUAGAUAGAAUAUGUAGUGUAGCGGUGAAAUGCAUAGAUAUUACAUAGAAUACCGAUUGCGAAGGCAGUCUACUAACUGUCGACUGACGCUAAGGGACGAAAGCGUGGGGAGCGAACAGGAUUAGAUACCCUGGUAGUCC